rnacentral:lncRNA from 1 species
CCUUGUUUACCUCGACGUUCAGAGCACUGAGCACAAUGAUGGCUUUUGAUUAGGUUUCCAGAUUACUUUCAGGCGUAAUAGCACAAAUGGAUCAGUGAGCAGAGGUAUAGUAGAAACAAAACUAAGGUGUACCUUGAGUCUGGAAGUCUGAUCCUUAGGGGAAGGAACUCGAUGGCACUCUGAGGACAAUACUUAUAUGAAGCUAACAUCACUGCUUGAAUGGGAAGGAGAAAGAUAGGAGUGAAGGCAAUGGAAACACACAGCUUUAUAGCAAAGCAUUAUCUCUAUUACCUUAUGUAGCUGCUUUCAGUGUGUGUAUUUAGGAGGUGAAACUUGAAGAAAUCAGAGGAUUUGUUUGCCCAAGGAAGGUUUUUAACAUCACCAUGUUACAAUCUCUCUUCAUUUUUCUUAAGAAUAUAAAAAUAACAAACUGAGUAUUAAGCAAGUUUGCUAAGAUAUUUGGG